GUCCAGGGUAGCCUAGUGGUCAUGGCAUCUGCCCGGUAAGCGGAAGGUCGUGGGUUCAAUUCCCUUCCCUUGACA
rnacentral:tRNA from 1 species